UUAUCAACUCCCAAACCCCUGUGAACAUACCCGAACGUUGCCUCGGCGGGACCGCCCCGGCGCCCACAGCGGCCCGGAACCAGGCGCCCGCCGGAGGACCCAAACUCUUGCUUUAAACAGUGGCAUACUCUCUGAGUCUCACAAACAAAAAAUAAAUCAAAACUUUCAACAACGGAUCUCUUGGCUCUGGCAUCGAUGAAGAACGCAGCGAAAUGCGAUAAGUAAUGUGAAUUGCAGAAUUCAGUGAAUCAUCGAAUCUUUGAACGCACAUUGCGCCCGCCAGCAUUCUGGCGGGCAUGCCUGUCCGAGCGUCAUUUCAACCCUCAGGGAACCCCCUCGCGGGGGGGACCUGGUGUUGGGGGCCGGCCGCCCAGCGCGCGCCGCCCCCGAAAUGCAGUGGCGACCUCGCCGCAGCCUCCCCUGCGUAGUAGCACAACCUCGCACCGGAGCGCGGAGACGGUCACGCCGUAAAACGCCCAACUUUCAAGAGUUGACCUCGGAUCAGGUAGGAAUACCCGCUGAACUUAAGCAUAUCAAUAAGCGGAGGAAAAGAAACCAACAGGGAUUGCCCCAGUAACGGCGAGUGAAGCGGCAACAGCUCAAAUUUGAAAUCUGGCCCCCAGGGCCCGAGUUGUAAUUUGCAGAGGAUGCUUUUGGCGCGGUGCCUUCCGAGUUCCCUGGAACGGGACGCCAUAGAGGGUGAGAGCCCCGUCUGGUCGGACACCAAGCCAGUGUAAAGCUCCUUCGACGAGUCGAGUAGUUUGGGAAUGCUGCUCUAAAUGGGAGGUAUAUGUCUUCUAAAGCUAAAUACCGGCCAGAGACCGAUAGCGCACAAGUAGAGUGAUCGAAAGAUGAAAAGCACUUUGAAAAGAGGGUUAAACAGUACGUGAAAUUGUUGAAAGGGAAGCGUUUAUGACCAGACUUGGGCCCGGUGAAUCAUCCAGCGUUCUCGCUGGUGCACUUCGCCGGGCCCAGGCCAGCAUCAGUUCGCCGCGGGGGACAAAAGCUUCGGGAACGUGGCUCCCUCGGGAGUGUUAUAGCCCGUUGCAUAAUACCCUGUGGCGGACUGAGG
rnacentral:rRNA from 1 species